AUUGAACGCUGGCGGCAGGCCUAACACAUGCAAGUCGAGCGGAUGAAGGGAGCUUGCUCCUGGAUUCAGCGGCGGACGGGUGAGUAAUGCCUAGGAAUCUGCCUGGUAGUGGGGGAUAACGUCCGGAAACGGGCGCUAAUACCGCAUACGUCCUGAGGGAGAAAGUGGGGGAUCUUCGGACCUCACGCUAUCAGAUGAGCCUAGGUCGGAUUAGCUAGUUGGUGGGGUAAAGGCCUACCAAGGCGACGAUCCGUAACUGGUCUGAGAGGAUGAUCAGUCACACUGGAACUGAGACACGGUCCAGACUCCUACGGGAGGCAGCAGUGGGGAAUAUUGGAGAAUAGGCGAAAACCUGAUCCAGCCAUGCCGCGUGUGUGAAGAAGGUCUUCGGAUUGUAAAGCACUUUAAGUUGGGAGGAAGGGCAGUAAGUUAAUACCUUGCUGUUUUGACGUUACCAACAGAAUAAGCACCGGCUAACUACGUG
rnacentral:rRNA from 1 species